rnacentral:pre_miRNA from 1 species
CAAAUACUCCCUCCGUCCCAUAUUAAUUGUCGCUCAAACGGAUGUAUCUAGACAUAUUUCAGUGCUAGAUACAUCCGUUUGAGCGACAAUUAAUAUGGGAUGGAGGGAGUACAUU